ACAUCCUGCCUAUUCAAGAUCCUACAGACA
rnacentral:piRNA from 1 species